rnacentral:snRNA from 1 species
AGCUUUGCGGCAGUGGCAGUAUCAUAGCCAAUGAGGUCAAACCGAGGCGUGAUUAUUGCUAAUUGAAAACUUUUCCCAAUACCCGCGUGAUGACUUGAAAUAUAGUCAGCACUGGCAAUUUUGACAGUCUCUCAGGAGA